rnacentral:rRNA from 1 species
UACGAAGGGGGCUAGCGUUGCUCGGAAUCACUGGGCGUAAAGCGCACGUAGGCGGAUCGUUAAGUCAGGGGUGAAAUCCUGGAGCUCAACUCCAGAACUGCCUUUGAUACUGAAGAUCUUGAGUUCGGGAGAGGUGAGUGGAACUGCGAGUGUAGAGGUGAAAUUCGUAGAUAUUCGCAAGAACACCAGUGGCGAAGGCGGCUCACUGGCCCGAUACUGACGCUGAGGCACGAAAGCGUGGGGAGCAACAGG